rnacentral:rRNA from 1 species
GACAGAGGGUGCAAACGUUGUUCGGAAUUACUGGGCGUAAAGCGUGUGUAGGCGGCCGCGCAAGUCGGAUGUGAAAUCCCCGGGCUCAACCCGGGAAGGGCACCCGAAACUGCACGGCUUGAGUACCGGAGAGGUUGGUGGAAUUCUCGGUGUAGAGGUGAAAUUCGUAGAUAUCGAGAGGAACACCGGUGGCGAAGGCGGCCAACUGGACGAGUACUGACGCUGAGACACGAAAGCGUGGGGAGCAAACAGG